rnacentral:rRNA from 1 species
CCUACGGGAGGCAGCAGUGGGGAAUAUUGGGCAAUGGGCGCAAGCCUGACCCAGCGACGCCGCGUGAAGGAAGAAGGAUUUCGGGUCGUAAACUUCUUUUCUCAGGGACGAAGAUAGUGAUGGUACCUGAGGAAUCAGCCACGGAUAACUACGUGCCAGCAGCGGCGGUAAUACGUAGGGGGCAAGCGUUAUCCGGAUUUACUGGGGUUAAAGGGCGAGUAGGCGGGACUGCAAGGCAGAUGUGAAACCCACGGGAUCAACCCGUGGACUGCAUUGGAAACUGUAGUUGUUGAGUACUGGAGAGGCAGACGGAAUUCCUAGUGUAGCGGUGAAAUGCGUAGAUAUUAGGAGGAACACCAGUGGAGAAGGCGGUCUGCUGGACAGCAACUGACGUUGAGGCGCGAAAGCGUGGGGAGCAAACAGGAUUAGAUACCCCUGUAGUC